GCAGGGGCUAAGAGGGCGUUGCUCUUGUUUAGGCUUUGGAAGGCCUCCGGUUUCGUUUAUCCUAAGUCCCUA
rnacentral:tRNA from 1 species